rnacentral:lncRNA from 1 species
GCCACCACCAAGUACACAAAGGUUGAAAGAGGACGUUUGUGGGAAGUAGACAUUUGUGAAUGUGGAUUUAGAAGAUUUUUCCCUGUGAUGAGCUGAGUCAUGGGUGAGAGCUGGAGAAAACAGAGUCCUGUGAAGAGGUGCCUUCCACGAUGAUUGUAAGUUUCCUGAGGCCUCCCCAGCCAUGCAGAACUACAGAGUCUUGCUCUGUCAUCCAGGCUGGAGCACAGUGGCGCAAUCUCGGCUUACUACAACCUCCACCUCCCGGGUUCAAGCGAUUCUUCUGCCUCAGCCUCCCGAGUAGCUGAGACUGCAGGCAUGCACCACCACUCCCAGAUGUAACCAAUUUAAGAUGAUGUCGUGCUGGAUUCGGGAAGAUCAAGAUGCAGAAACCCAGAGACACAAAGGGAGAGGUAGAGAUUGGAGUGGUAUAUCUACCCACCAGGAAAGCCAAAGAUUGCCAUUAAUCCACAGAAGCCAGGAGGAGGCAAGGAUGGGUCCUCCCCCGGAGCCUUCAAAGAAUGCAUGAACCUAAAAACAUCCUGAUUUCAGACUUCUGGCCUAGAACUGUGAGAGAAUAAAUUUUUGUUGUUUCAAGCCACCUGGUUUAUGGUAUUUUGUUAUGGCAACCCUAGGAAAAGCAUACGGCUGCCAGUGAGUAAAGAUGCUCAGCACACUAGGUGAGCACUUUGCUGCACUCUGGGGAAAAUUUGAGAAAUUUUGCCAGUGUGGUCAUAUGGAGCAUUGUGAAAAUAAAUCAUUGUAUUUUCUUUACAUUGUAUAAUUGUUGAAAUAAAAUUAUCCAUGAGUCUUCCACAAUAUUGCAUGUCUUAUAAACAUAAAUAUUGAUAUUUGUGGAAGAUACUGUCAUCCCCUGUAGCAAAAGGCCAACGUGCUUACUGUCCAGUGUAAAAUAUAUGAAUUCUCUAAGCUCAGGGUUGCUCUUCCACAGUACAACCCAGUGCAUGUAUGGAUGUUGCUGGCUCUGUUUAUGCCACCCUGUGGGACUUGGGAAAUGAUACAAAAAUAAUAACAUUACUCUGGAUACUGCUACUGCUGUGAGUAAAAAACUUUCUUUUGUCUUUGACCCAUGAAUCUCAUGCCUUCUGCCACUAUCCAUAAAAUGGGCAGGCUAACUUGUUUGCUUGCAAAUGUAAUAAAAUCUCAGAGUCUUUACAGUUCUUGACAGUGCUUAUGACAAAUAUUAAGAUGCAAAUAUUAGAAAUGAUAAGUAAUGAAUUUAUGUUAACCUUUCAAAUAACCUUUCAAAACUUUUGAUGAUAAACUUGGUCCUGUGCACUUAAAUUUUAUAUCAAGAUUUUUGCUGAAAAUGUCCACGUUUCAAUUUCUGGUGAAAGCAGUUUAAUUUUGAUCACCUGACAUUCUUGUCACUUUCAACAAGAAACUUUGUUCGUGCAAGUCAAUGGCAGACUUUUCAAAAUAAUGUAUUAUAGCCAUUUAAAAAUGUCCA